rnacentral:rRNA from 1 species
UACGAGGGGGGCAAAUGUUGUUCGGAAUCACUGGGCGUAAAGGGUGCGUAGGCGGGUUCUUAAGUAAGGUGUUUAAUCCCGGGGCCCAACCCCGGACCGGCACUUUAAACUGGGAAUCUUGAAUAGUGGAGAGGUCAGUGGAAUUGGGGGUGUAGCGGUGGAAUGCGUAGAGAUCCCCAAGAACACCAGUUGCGAAGGCGGCUGACUGGACACAUAUUGACGCUGAGGCUCGAAAGCAUGGGGAGCAAACGGG